rnacentral:rRNA from 1 species
GAGGCCCUACGGGAGGCAGCAGUGGGGAAUAUUGCACAAUGGGGGGAACCCUGAUGCAGCGACGCCGCGUGAAGGAAGAAGUAUCUCGGUAUUUAAACUUCUAUCAGCAGGGAAGAAAGAGGACGGUACCUGACUAAGAAGCCCCGGCUAACUACGUGCCAGCAGCCGCGGUAAUACGUAGGGGGCGAGCGAUAUCCGGAUUUACUGGGUGUAAAGGGUGCGUAGGCGGGUAA